UUUGAACGCUGGCGGCAUGCCUUACACAUGCAAGUCGAACGGUAACAGGUUAAGCUGACGAGUGGCGAACGGGUGAGUAAUGUAUCGGAACGUGCCCAGUCGUGGGGGAUAACUGCUCGAAAGAGCAGCUAAUACCGCAUACGACCUGAGGGUGAAAGCGGGGGAUCGCAAGACCUCGCGCGAUUGGAGCGGCCGAUAUCAGAUUAGGUAGUUGGUGAGGUAAAGGCUCACCAAGCCGACGAUCUGUAGCUGGUCUGAGAGGACGACCAGCCACACUGGGACUGAGACACGGCCCAGACUCCUACGGGAGGCAGCAGUGGGGAAUUUUGGACAAUGGGCGCAAGCCUGAUCCAGCCAUGCCGCGUGCGGGAAGAAGGCCUUCGGGUUGUAAACCGCUUUUGUCAGGGAAGAAAAGGUUCUGGCUAAUACCUGGGACUCAUGACGGUACCUGAAGAAUAAGCACCGGCUAACUACGUG
rnacentral:rRNA from 1 species